rnacentral:lncRNA from 1 species
UCUGUUAGAAAAUGACUAGAAUUUUCUAAGGCAGCACUGCCUAAUAGAAAUAUAGUGUGAGCCACACAAUAUAAUUUUUAAGUUUUUAGUAGUCAUUAAAACAAGUAGAAAGAUACCAGUGGAAUUUUAAUAACUGUAUUUCUAUACUGCUGCUCCUUCUAUUGAAUCUAACUUAAAAUUCCAUGUAACCCUCACAUGUGGGUAUGAAAAACAUUAACAGGAAAUGCUAAUAUAGGGAGUCAGUGAAGCUGGGGUAGGAAAUUGAUGAUGUGAUACCGGAAGUGAUCUGGCAGGGCUUUAAAGUAAUGCCAGAGGUCCUUCCAGGCAGUUCUCAACUUGCUCCUUGGCUGUUCUCCUGACACUUAAGUCAGAGCAUUCUGUAGCUGUAUUUUACAGAACUGUAAUUGCACAGAUUGUUCCUCUUACAAGAGAAAUAUCCAGAGCUCUAAGAAAACAACUGAUGAAAACGACAUGCGUGACAUUUGGUGCUGAAGACCCAGGUCAGAGAGACUCCUUUGGGGGACCAGUCCGCUGUCCUUGCCCUCACUCUGUGAGGAGACCCACCUACGACCUCGGGUCCUCAGACCAACCAGCUCAAGGAACAUCUCACCAAUUUCAAAUCGGGACCCCACUGGAAAAUGGACUGUCCAACUCACCCGGCAGCCACUCCCAGAGCCCCUGGAACUCUGGCCCAAGGCUCUCUGACUGACUCCUUCCCAGAUCUUCUCGGCUCAGCAGCUGAAGACUGACACUGCUUGAUUGCCUGGGAAGCCUAUAGGACCAUCACAGACACUUUGGAUAACUCUUACAGUGAAGGUGUCUGGAGUUUCCCCUAUGGACGCUCUCUCCUGCCACCAUGUAAGUCUUGCCUCUCUUUUCGUUUGCCUUCCACCAUGAUUGUAAGUUUCCUGAGGCCUCCCCAGCUAUGUGGAACUGUGACAAAAAAGCGCCACUGCAGGGAGGAAUGCCAGGGUCCCAUAGAGGGAGACCGACAGUGAAGUGGAGCCUGCCAUGAAUUCACCAAAGGCCAUUCUCCCUUUCUUCCAGAAGAACAGCAUUUAGCUGGGCCUAUGGCUACCUACCUAAAGACUGCACCUCUUAGUCACCCUUGUGGCCAGGUGUGGCCACGUGACAGUGGAAUGUAAGUGGAAGUGAUGUAUGCACUUGGGUUCAUUGGUUUAAAAAAAAAUAUGACCGCCCUCCAUUUCCACUCUUUGUCUUAUCUGUGAAUGGGAACAUGGCUGUGUCUGCAGCCCGACUUUGUGCAGCAAAGGACAAGGCCCUAGGGGAAGGUGGAGAAACAAGAUGGAACAACUUGGACCCAACAACUUGGAUCCCUAUGUGGCCAUGUGGAGUCAUCUCACCCACCUGGGCCACUCACCCCGAAGACUGUUGUGUGAGGGUGAAAUAAACUUCUGUAUCACUAGCCCCUGCAUUUCAGAAAUUCUUUGUUAUGGCAGUUUUGCCUUUAUCCUAACACAGACAGCAAAGUAUCUUCUGUGGCCCCAUGACUAAUUUCGUUGUUUAAACUCAUUAUAAAAACUAUAUAAAUAAAAUAUUAAAAAUCAAAUAAAAUAGCAAGAUAACACUGUGUAACUAUCCAGUUUUAGAUGUUAUUACCUUUUUGGCAUAUUUACCUCAUCUAUUUUCUCCAGGGGUUUUUAAAGAAGAGUCAUGCUUGUUAUUUUAAAUUAUCUGCAGUGCUCCUUGGUCUUAUAAAACUAUGGGUUAUUUCAAACUUCGGUAAAUGUCUGAUACACAUGAACUUCUUGCAUUGUUGAGGAAAUCAGAGAAAAAUGAUGCUGUUUUUCCCUUGUAAGUUGACAAUGGAUGGAGAUGAAACCACCUUUGCAAAAUUAUGGCAAUAAGAGAAAUUGGACAUGGCAGACUCCAUCUUGCUUUUAGCCUCACAGGUUGGCUGUCUUGGCUCAUUCCUGGGCAUAAGCCAAGCUAACUUUGGCAGAAAUUGAGUUUAUAGUGUAAACGAUAAUAGCCUUUCCCCAAAACUAAACUACCCUUGUAAAAUUAAUGAAAGGCCACCAAGUUAGGAGGAUGAGAAGGGCCUGAAUGCCUGAAUUCAGCCAUUAUUCUGGAAGUCACAAGAUGUGCAACCUCCCCAGUUACUCCUGUAAAUAACUUCAGUAUUGUAGAACCUAAGAUUGGCCUUUUGACAGCCUUUUGCAUUUCUGACAACUAGAUGGCCCCACGCAGACCCGUGACUCAACCAGUCCUAUAGCCUUCAUCCAAAAAUGGACUCAGUGCAUGAGGACUGUUUUCCACACCCUUAUGAUUGCAUCCCAAACCAAUCAGCAGCACCCAUACCCUAUCCCCUGCACACCAAACUAUCUUUGAGAAACUCCUAACCUCUGAUUCUUUGGUGAGAUUGAUUUAAGUAAUAACUCUGUCUCCCACAUGGCGUGGCUGGCGUCGUGUCAAUUAAACUCUUUCUUUACUGCAAUGCCAUGGUCUCUAUGAAUUGAUUUUGUUUUGCAG